GUUUCUGUAGUGUAGUGGUCAUCACGUUCGCCUUACACGCGAAAGGUCCCUGGUUCGAAACCAGGCAGAAACA
rfam:Astyanax mexicanus Tnplaced_Scaffold3925, whole genome shotgun sequence.